rnacentral:rRNA from 1 species
AGAGUUUGAUCCUGGCUCAGAACGAACGCUGGCGGCAGGCUUCAUACAUGCAAGUCGAACGGAAAGGCCCCCUUCGGGGGGUACUCGAGUGGCGAACGGGUGCGUAACAGGUGGAUAACCUACCUUACCGGUGGGGGAUAACGGCUGGAAACGGCCGCUAAUACCGCAUACGAUCUUAGGAACCCCGGUUCCUUUGAAGAAAGAGGCUUCGGUCUCGCCGGAAGAUGGGUCCGCCCCCCAUUAGCUUGUUGGUGUGAUAAAAGCGCACCAAGGCUUCGAUGGGUAGCCGAGCUGAGAGGUUGAUCGGCCACACUGGAACUGAGAUACGGUCCAGACACCUACGGGUGGCAGCAGUAGGGAAUAUUGCGCAAUGAGCGAAAGCUUGACGCAGCCAUGCCGCGUGGAUGAUGAAGGCCUUCGGGUCGUAAAGUCCUUUUCUGAGGGAAGAAAAUACACGGGUAACGCCGUGGACUGACGGUACCUCAGGAAUAAGCAACGGCUAACUCCGUGCCAGCAGCCGCGGUAAUACGGAGGUUGCGAGCGUUGUUCGGAUUUACUGGGCGUAAAGGGAGCGCAGGCGGCUUGGUCAGUCUAAAGUGAAAGCCCGGGGCUCAACCCUGGAAGUGCUUUGGAUACUGCCAGGCUUGAG